rnacentral:rRNA from 1 species
CGUAGGUAACCUACCCCAAAUCGGGGGACAACAUUUGGAAACAGAUGCUAAUACCGCAUAAGAACGUUGUUCGCAUGAACAACGCUUAAAAGAUGGCUUCUCGCUAUCACUUCUGGAUGGACCUGCGGUGCAUUAACUUGUUGGUGGGGUAACGGCCUACCAAGGCGAUGAUGCAUAGCCGAGUUGAGAGACUGAUCGGCCACAAUGGGACUGAGACACGGCCCAUACUCCUACGGGAGGCAGCAGUUGGGAAUCUUCCACAAUGGGCGCAAGCCUGAUGGAGAACACCGCGUGAGUGAAGAAGGGUUUCGGCUCGUAAAGCUCUGUUGUUAAAGAAGAACACGUAUGAGAGUAACUGUUCAUACGUUGACGGUAUUUAACCAGAAAGUCACGGCUAACUACGUGCCAGCAGCCGCGGUAAUACUUAGGUGGCAAGCGUUAUCCGGAUUUAUUGGGCGUAAAGAGAGUGCAGGCGGUUUUCUAAGUCUGAUGUGAAAGCCUUCGGCUUAACCGGAGAAGUGCAUCUGAAACUGGAUAACUUGAGUGCAAUUCCRGGUAKUGGAACUGCAUGUGUAGCGGUGGAAUGCGUAGAUAUAUGGAAGAACACCAGUGGCGAAGGCGGCUUCUUGGUCUGCUACUGACGCUGAGACUUGAAAGCAUGGGUAGCGAACAAGAUUAGAUUACCUGGUAGUUCAUGCCGUUAACGAUGAGUGCUAGAUGUUGGAGGGUUUUCGCCCUUCAGUGCCGGAGGUAACGCAUUAAGCACUUCGCCUGGGGAGUACGACCGCAAGGUUGAAACUCAAAGGAAUUGACGGGGGCCCGCACAAGCGGUGGAGCAUGUGGUUUAAUUUGAAGCUACGCGAAGAACCUUACCAGGUCUUGACAUCCUGCGCCAACCCUAGAGAUAGGGCGUUUCCUUUGGGAACGCAAUGACAGGUGGUGCAUGGUCGUUGUCAGCUUGUGUUGUGAGAUGUUGGGUUAAGUCCCGCAACGAGCGCAACCCUUGUUACUAGUUGCCAGCAUUAAGUUGGGCACUUUAGUGAGACUGCCGGUGACAAACCGGAGGAAGGUGGGGACGACGUCAGAUCAUCAUGCCCCUUAUGACCUGGGGUACACACGUGGUACAAUGGACGGUACAACGAGUCGCGAACUUGCGAGGGCAAGCAAAUUUUUUAAAACCUUUUUCAGUUCGGACUGCCGGGUGCAAAUUGCCUGCCAGAAGUCGGAAUUGGUUGUAAUUGCGGAUCAGCAUGCCGCGGUGAAUACGUUUCCGGGCCUUGUACCCCCCCCCCGUCACCCCCUGAGAGUUUGUAACACCCAAAGUUGGUGGGGUAACCUUUUAGGAGCCAGCCGCCUAAGGUGGGA